UUGGCCUCUUUAGUCCUACAACAGCCCCUAAAACAACACCAAGAAGCUUCAUCUCCAGCCUGAACAUUUAAAUCUGCUGCAGACUCGGUUAAAAACGACAAAAAUGUCCGCAUGUUAAACAUUUAUCACUCACAUUUUUGGGUCAGUACGACAACAAAAGCCAUAAACGGAAGAGCAGAAAGCGCAAAGUACAGGCUGACCAGAAUGGGUGCAGCACUUCAACCAGGGACUAUUUAACAUGAGGGAGAGGAGGGUCCCACUGCCCGUCUGACACUGUUCUCACUGCAAGGCAGUGCCAGUUUCCUCCUGUGUGGAAGAGUUACAUCAUCGCUGAAUCCCAUGUUUGAUUGAGUGCAGUUCCAGUCAGGUAAGGUGUCGUCCUAUCAGCACCUGUGGAUGAGCUCCUCGCUCUGCAGCAAGUCCAUCUCGCCAGUGUCCAUGCCCUCCUCCUCAGCAUUGCCCUCCUCCUCCUCCUCCAUCACCUCAUCCUUCUCUCCUUUGGGACCAGGAGAUGAGAAGAGGGAAAUGCGAACUGCAUCAUCACCUUCGCCCUGAUUCACCGUGGAAACCCAAAUCUGCCUUCGUCAUCAUCUCUCGAGUUAAACUCAAGCCGCCCCCAUCAAUCAGUCCAAGCUCUUCCUUUCCAUGCAGACUCACCUCUCCCUCCAAUCCCUGCCCUUUCUCUAUCUGCCCCGACAGCCCCUUUUCAUUCCCUGAAUCAUUGCACGGACUCAGCCCUAUCUGUCCACUGAGCCCUGUCUCUGGACACUGUCCCAUCUCUGACGGCUGGUCCACAGUCAGCGCUGCAGCUUCUUUGGCUUGUCUGAUGCAGUUGAUCCACUGCUGUUUGUUGAAGGCGUCGCUGGCCUGGAAGCAGUGGCUCUGCAGCUGCCCUCCAGUGCGGUACGAAACCCGGAAGAAGUUCUUUGCUGAGAGGAGGAGAAAACAGAAGACAUGGUCCUCCAGGUCGAGCUGACGGAUGGGGAUGGGCUGGCGGCAGAGCUGAUAGCUGACCGGCUGCUCGCUCAGCGACAUGGAUCUGGUGAUGACCAGGACGUCCUGGAAAAGGAACACGUGAAGUUUCUGGAAAGAGAAUGACAGAGAGCAGUAUUUCAUUUUCCACCCAAUGAAUAAAGAUAAUAUAUUAAAACACUAUAAAAGGCCAUAUUUACAGCAAGGUUGAUGAAAGUGGGGAAAAAACACUCUCAAAAAGCUCACCCAUGCUAUGAAAAUGCAUCUGUAACAUAGAUAAAUUGACAAUAAACCAACUUUAUUGACUGGAUUUAAUCAGUGAUGCUGACAUUUACUUAAUUUGAUACUAAAAUCUAUGAGGAUUUCAGC